rnacentral:lncRNA from 1 species
AGGAUUAAGUUUCAGGUGCCCACUGCAGUAACCGGCUUAAUAAUACACUAUUGUCUAUCUUCCUUUUUGUAUAUUAAUCUCCAUUUCCCUGCAGGAUUGCACUUGAAUCAUUGUCUCUGGGUCUAAAUCUAUGGAAACCCACAAGAAGAGAUUCGGUACCAAAACUGGACAUAAAUUCUCAGGAGAAGGUUGUGAGUUGGAUCCUAGGCUGGCCAGAUCACAAGGACUAUUAUGCUGCUGCAGAGCCCUCGUUUGUCUCAGGUAACCGUCUCUCCAUAAUAGCACCUUGUGCAUCAGAGGAAGCCGAGCCACCACCAGCUCCAGACGAGGGCCUAGUAUUUUUCAACUUCUAGAAUGAUCAAAAAUGAAUCUGUGUAUCCAGAGGCAGAAGAAAUCAACAGAAGGUAUAUUAACAUUUUCAUGUUACCUGUAAUUCAUGCUAAGAUUUUUUUUUAGUAGUACUAUCGACAAAGAUGAUUUCUGCUAUUGUCUCAGGACAAAUUGAUUAAAUAAGAAUGGUUGGAGGGAAUAAACAUGUAAAGGAAAUAAUUUUAGCUUACUAA